rnacentral:rRNA from 1 species
ACGUGAGAAUUUACCCUAAGGAGGGGGACAACAACUGGAAACGGUUGCUAAUACCCCAUAUGCUUUCGAGUGAAAAAGAUUUAUCUGCCUUAGGAAAAGCUCGCGGCUGAUUAGCUAGUUGGUAAGGUAAUGGCUUACCAAGGCGACGAUCAGUAUCUGGUUUGAGAGGACGAUCAGACACACUGGAACUGAGACACGGCCCAAACUCCUACGGGAGGCAGCAGUGGGGAAUCAUGCACAAAUGGAGGAAACUCUGAUGCAGCGAUGCCGCGUGAGUGAAGAAGGCCUUUGGGUUGUAAA